GAUGAACGCUAGCUGGAGGCUUAAUACAUGCAAGUCGAGCGGGAUUGGGUAGCAAUACCCAUGAGAGCGGCGCACGGGUGAGUAACGCGUACACGACCUACCUCUAACAGGGGGAUAGCCCUGGGAAACCGGGAUUAAUACCGCAUAUAAUUCUGAUCAAUAAAGAGUUGGAAUGAAAGUUCAGGCGGUUAGAGAUGGGUGUGCGUCUGAUUAGCUAGUUGGUGAGGUAACGGCUCACCAAGGCGAUGAUCAGUAGGGGGCGUGAGAGCGUGGUCCCCCACACGGGUACUGAGACACGGACCCGACUCCUACGGGAGGCAGCAGUAAGGAAUAUUGGACAAUGGGCGAAAGCCUGAUCCAGCCAUCCAGCGUGCAGGAAGGAGGCCCUACGGGUUGUAAACUGCUUUUGUCAGGGAAUAAACCCUUGGAUUUACUCCGAGGCUGAAGGUACCUGAAGAAUAAGCACCGGCUAACUCCGUGCCAGCAGCCGCGGUAAUACGGAGGGUGCGAGCGUUAUCCGGAAUUACUGGGUUUAAGGGUGCGUAGGCGGCUUGGUAAGUCAGGAGUGAAAGU
rnacentral:rRNA from 1 species